UACAGAGGUCUCAAGCGUUGUUCGGAUUCAUUGGGCGUAAAGGGUGUGUAGGCGGCGCGCUAAGUCGGGUGUGAAAUUUCGGAGCUUAACUCCGAAACUGCAUUCGAUACUGGCGUGCUUGAGGACUGGAGAGGAGACUGGAAUUCAUGGUGUAGCAGUGAAAUGCGUAGAGAUCAUGAGGAAGACCAGUGGCGAAGGCGGGUCUCUGGACAGUUCCUGACGCUGAGGCACGAAGGCCAGGGGAGCAAACGGG
rnacentral:rRNA from 1 species